AGCACAGAGCCGGACACGGGGCUUGAACCCACGGACCGUGAGAUCAUGACCUGAGCUGAAGUCAGAUGCUUAAGCGACUGAGCCACCCUGACACCCCUGAAAUAUGAAGAAAGAUUUAAAGGAGCUAAAUAAAUGGAACUGGGCUACUUGAUAAUUAUGAGGGAUGUAAUAGCAGGCUGCACAUUUCUGAAGGCUAGAAACAUCUGAAAUGACGAGCUAUCUAGUGUGGAAUAUGAUUAAGGAAUGAAUAGCAUGAAGUGGAAACAUAAGUCAGAUAACGGGACAAUAACUAACAACUCUCUUUUCCUUUGUCUCCCUUCUGCAGGGCGAGAGGAAGAAACAGACUUCAGGGACCUGACAACUUAGGAGUUAUUUUUCCAAAACAAGCAUUUAUUGCUAUAGAAUGACAUAGGAUAAAUGAAGGUUUCAGUCCCAGAUGAAUUUCCUAGCCCAUUUUAUUUUAUUUUAUUUUUUAUUAAAUUUAUUUUUCAAUGUUUAUUUAUUUUUGAGAGAGAGAGAGAGAGCACAGGUAGGGGAGGGGCAGAGAGAGAGGGAGACACAGAAUCCGAAGCAGGCUCCAGGCUCUGAGCUGUCAGCACGGAGCCCGAUGCAGGGCUGGAAUCCAGGAACCCUGUCUUAAGGCCUAUUCAAAUGACCUGAGCUGAAGUCGGAUGCUUAACCGACUGAGCCACCCAGGCGCCCCCUUAGCCCAUUUUAAAUAACUGUUGCACAAAUGCAUCUUCUUUCACAUCUUCCCCUAUGUCCACUGUCAAUGCUUUAAUUCUUGCUCCAUUAAGUCUCACUGGGCAUGUUGCUGUGGCCUCUAGCUACCUCUCUGCUUCGAGAUUCUCUAACCACUUUACCCUCUGCAUGGCCACCACAUGACCUUUCUAAACCACUUCCCAGAAUAAUACUUUAAAACCACAUGAAGACUUUUAUGCGUUAGCCCUCUUGAUGUUGCAAAUAAUAAAAAAAACCUGACUCAAGCUUUUUAUUUUAUUUUUUUAUAUUUGUAUUAUAUCUACUUUUUAGGUUCACGUGACGGCAAGGUCCGGAGAUGGAAGGACUGACUACUGGAUGGUUUAAUCCUGGGGCCCAGUGAUGUAAUUCAGGACAGAGUUUCUUUGUGUCUCCCUGCUGUACCUCCCACAAUGCCAGCUUCAUCCUGUACCGGUGGGAGCUGGCUCCAGCCUUCAAGAAGAAGCCAACAGCUUGUAGGACUGUGCUGACUGCGUUCAAAGAGAGAGAGAGAGUGCUGUCUCACGGUGCUGGGCAAGAAUCUUGAGAUUCACUGGAUUGGACAGGGUUAGGUCACAGGCCCAACCUCGAACCCAUCUUUGUGGCCAAGGGAAUGGAAAAUGUUGUUUGGCUUAGGUGGCUCCAGUGUAUAUGAGUGGACACCCAAAUGAAGCCGGAUGGUAAUGGCUGGUCCAGGUCCAAAGGCUGCCGAGAACCGUACCCUGGACUAACUGAGGCUGUGUCAUCUGGGGUUUCUGCGGAGGCAGCAGACAGACCGGGAAAAUGACCUACCACAGAUAAGGAUUUGAGUGCAGUGACAGGACCACAGGUAGGUGGUUUUGACAUCCACUCAGGACAGUGUCCACAGGGUCAGAAGAGCCCAGAAUGGGGGGGUGCUUCCUGCGAUGUCUCUUGGGACGGGUUGAGGUAUGGCAGCAUUCAAAGUUCACCCUACGUAUGACCAGGUGAGGAAAUUCUUGAUGCGCCUGCCAUAGCCUCAACCUUUCACAUUCUUUUUCUUACUUUGUCUUAAGGCCUAUUCAAAUGAACGCAGGCAUUUUGAUAAAAGGAGGCUUUGCAGUAAUUCGGAUGAGAUGUCAAAGGUGGCCUGAAAGGAUCGUUAUUAGAAAUGGGGAUGGGGAGGGGUGUGUGGCUUUUGAAACAUUUAGGAAGGAGAAUGGACUGAACUUGAUGCUUGUUUGGAUGUGCAAAAUAGAUCAGUGAGGAUGAUUUCCAUCACAAAUAAUUGACACCCUUCCUCACUGGGCAGAAACAAAGGAAAUGUAUUCUUUCAAACAACAGAAGACUUAAUAAGGUUAGGAUCCGCUGGGGGGUUUAUGAGUUCAUCAGCCCAACAUUCCUUGCCUUUCCAUUCUGCCUUCCACAGCGUUGGCUUCAUCCUAAAGCUGGUUUCCUAUCACAUCAACAGAGGGCCACUACCAGUGAUGUGUUUUUGUUCCUUUAGGAUGGGAGGGAGAAACUGGCCCCUCUUUCUGAGAAGUCUGAAAGAAGCUUUUUCUGUUUCUUUGGCCUAGAUUGACUUAGACCAGCCUACCCUCAAACCAAUCAAUCACUAGCGUGGGGGAUAAGACUACCAAGGUGGACUUACAAUCGCGGGGGGUGAGGUGGAGGAGGUCAGGUGGAGUGGAUGUUGGGAGGCCAACCACGAGGUUCACAAACCAAGGCAACUAGGUGAUGGUGGUGCCAUUUACUGAUUAAGGGAUCUGGGAAGAAGAAUUGGUUUUGGGAGAAGAUGACGAACUUAUUUUUAGACUUGCAUCCUCAUAUUUGUUUUCAUGUCAUACAAGAGUCCAAAGGAUACUUGGAUGACUGGAGAAUUUCCGAGGACCCAUCCUUAGCUAAGAAGAGUCUGGGCCCAAGAUGCACUCUUUUAGGAGCCUUCCUCUGUUGCCAGCCCAGACUCCAUCCUAGCUGUGGGAGAAGUGGUCUUGCCACACUGUGGCCAAACCACAUGUGAACAUCUUUCGGCUUCCAAAGGAGUGCUCACUUAAUUGCUCCUCACUAAAUCAUCUCAGUGUCAUGCCCCAAACUCAAAUGAGAUGGUGCAUGAGUAAAGUGUGACAUUUGUUGUCACCUGGCAAUUUUAGGUUUGAUGAUUCAUCUUUAGUUGGCUUUUUCACUUCCCAAAUGCUGCUUCUGUAAGUUGAUCCUACCCUAAGGAGGUAGGAAUAUACUGCAGAUACUGGCUCCGAAUGCAAGGUCUAGCCCAUGGUACGCUUGGAAUUCACAAUUAACUAGUAAGGCAUAACUCGAGCGAGAUCUUGAGAAGUAGUGUAGUGUAGUGGUUGGGAGUGUCGUUGAUAAAGUUAGACUGUCUGGGUUCAGGUCCCAGCUGUGCAACUACAAGCGGUGUGACCCAAUCAAUCUUACUCUGUGCUUCAGUUUCCUCAUCUGUAAACUAGGGAUGAUUAUGAUGAUACUAAUAGAAUCUAUCCCACAGGCUUGUUAAUAAGUCAAUUAGAUGUGAAGUGCUUAGCAAAGCACUUGGCAUAUAGGAAAUGCUCUUUACUUGCUUGGUUGUUGAAUAUAUAUAUAUCUUUAUUUUUUUCUUUUAAAACUUUUAUACUUUUCUUUCUUUUAUCAACACAUUCUAAACCAAACCAUACACUCAGGUUUUGAUUGAAUGUUUCUUUGUGGCAUAGCCUGAGUAACUUGAUAUGGAAUCAAAAGCCCAUCCCAGCCGACCUUAGGGCAGCUCAGUGCCAAAGCUGUGGUCUCAGGGGCUCCUUAAGACUUGGCUCCAUCUCGGCCACAGGUGGUCUAUUACCUUGUUUAACUGAUUACAGCCAAUUAAAGGGAAGGGCUUAAUUUGCCUUUCUAGCACUUAUAAUCAGCUAAAAUGUUCAACAUCACUUCCUGAUGCUUCCUCUUUCCCACACAAGAGCAUCAAAAAGAAAAGGAUAUUCAAAUGGAGGAAUUUUCAGAAACUUUCUAAGUUUUUCCUGGACGAUUAUUUCUCCUUCCCUUUGGCUUUUGACACAUUUAUAAAUCAGUUAUGUAAUAAUCUAUUGCAGCUCUGAACUAAAUGCAAAUCACGUCUUUUAAAGUCGAAGGAAUCAUAGAAUAUUUUGCAGAAAAAUUAGAGAAUUUAUACAGACUACUUUAUAUAAUUGUAAAAGAAUAUACGCUUAAUAUGGAAAUAUAGCAAAGUAUAUGGGGAAAAAUAUCACCAAUGGCCCCAACUAGAUAGCUACUAUCAACAUUUUAGUCUGUUUUCUUCCAGGCCUUUAUUCUGUAUACAGGUUGUGUUUGACAUAAUUGUGAUCAAAGCAUAGAUACAAUUUUGUGUUCUGAAUUUUGUUUCACUUACCUUUAUAAAUAUUUCCCAUGUGGUGGUAAAUUCUUUGUAAAAAUUUA